CAGGGCAGGGGGGAUGAAGUAUUAAGGACCUUGGAUGCCCAGCUGCCCACGGGUUUCCCAUGGAGACCGUAAUUCUUAGUGAGAGAAGGGAACUUACCGCAUGGAAAUUCCCACUUCCUCCAAGACCAGCACAUACAGUGCCAGCCCAGACAAUUCUGUGUGUGGAGAAUGGGAAGGCCCGCCCUGGCUGUGAGUGCUACCUCCCCUAAGGCCAUGCAGCCUGGAUAGACUAUAAGGGACCGAAAGAAGGCUGCUGCUGCUGUCACUUGCUGCUUGUUCGCAACUUCACUUCUUUGCUGCCUUCUGCCCACUAUGAACUGUUUCUCCUCUGGGUUUCCUCUCUGCCAGCCUGGCAUCCUCUGUGAUGCCAGCCUGCCUUGGAGCCAGCUUAGUGUGGAUUGAAACCUCUACAAACUGUGAGCUACGAUAAAUCUUUC
ensembl:lncRNA